GCGGGCGUAGAUCAGCGGAAAGAUCAGGGGAUUGCUAAUCCCCACGUCGGGCGUUCGAAUCGCCCCCGCCCGCA
rnacentral:tRNA from 1 species